rnacentral:rRNA from 1 species
AUUGAACGCUGGCGGCAUGCUUUACACAUGCAAGUCGAGCGCAUCCUUCGGGGUGAGCGGCAGACGGGUGAGUAACACGUGGGGAUCUGCCCGAUGGUACGGAAUAACUCAGGGAAACUUGUGCUAAUACCGUAUGUGCCCGCAAGGGGAAAGAUUUAUCGCCAUCGGAUGAACCCGCGUCAGAUUAGCUAGUUGGUGUGGUAAAGGCGCACCAAGGCGACGAUCUGUAGCUGGUCUGAGAGGAUGAUCAGCCACACUGGGACUGAGACACGGCCCAGACUCCUACGGGAGGCAGCAGUGGGGAAUAUUGGACAAUGGGCGCAAGCCUGAUCCAGCCAUGCCGCGUGAGUGAUGAAGGCCUUAGGGUUGUAAAGCUCUUUCGCCGACGAAGAUAAUGACGGUAGUCGGAGAAGAAGCCCCGGCUAACUUCGUGCCAGCCGCCGCAGUAACAC